AGUGGGAUGCUUGCUUAUAAACAUGAUGUAUAUGCAGCUGGGAUUGAGAGCCAGGGCAUGCUGACCGAAGAGGCUAGAAAACUUGACUUAGAAUUGGAAUAUACAGCCAGCAAGCAUCUUUCGAAAGAAGCAGUUAUGAAACUGAUCCGUCCAACACAUUUUAAUGUUACCCUGUCAUGCCACGACCAGUUAUGUCACUUACCCCUUGCCAGCACAAUGGAAAACUAUGGACUUAUCGGUCUACACCCGUGUGGAAACUUAGGUCCUCUGUUGCUAAGGCAUUUUACUGCUUAUGAACAUGUCAAGUUUAUUUGUCUAGUUGGUUGUUGUUUUAUGAAGUUGACAUGUGAAGGAGAAAACUGUGGGUAUCCAGUGAGUGAAUAUGUCAGGGGAAUGGACCAUGGCCUUUCCUAUGUAAGCCGAGAGAUAGCUUGUCAUGCUAUUGAGGUAUAUGCUGAAAGGCUGAUGAAGGGCAAUUAUGAAGAUCUCAAGGUUCAUGCAUACAGGGCCGCACUUGAGAAGAAUCCUUGGUACAUAUGACCCACAACUAAAACAUUCUCCUGUCAGGAGCGUCAAGCACUCAGACACAAUGACUUUUGAGAAGUACUGCACAUUAGCUGUUGAGAAAUUAAACAUGCCAAUGUUGUUGACACCUGAGGCUCUGUCUUGCGGCGCCUCUGACCUGGAGCAGUGGCGUCGAGUGGUCACGGUGGUGUACACACUACGGCUAGCUGUCGCGCCGUUAGUC
rnacentral:misc_RNA from 1 species